AGGACGAACGCUGGCGGCGUGCUUAACACAUGCAAGUCGAACGGAAAGGCCCUUUCGGGGGUGCUCGAGUGGCGAACGGGUGAGUAACACGUGAGUAACCUGCCCCUAGCUCUGGGAUAGCUCCGGGAAACCGGGAUUAAUACCAGAUACGACCACUUUAGACAUCUGUCGUGGUGGAAAGGAUUCCGGCUAGGGAUGGGCUCGCGGCCUAUCAGCUUGUUGGUGGGUAACGGCCUACCAAGGCGACGACGGGUAGCCGGCCUGAGAGGGCGACCGGCCACACUGGGACUGAGACACGGCCCAGACUCCUACGGGAGGCAGCAGUGGGGAAUAUUGCGCAAUGGGCGAAAGCCUGACGCAGCGACGCCGCGUGGGGGAUGAAGGCCUUCGGGUUGUAAACCCUUUCAGCAGGGACGAAGCGAAAGUGACGGUACCUGCAGAGAAGCGCCGGCUAACUACGUGCCAGCAGCCGC
rnacentral:rRNA from 1 species